rnacentral:tRNA from 3 species
GUUUUAAUAAUUUAAUUUAAAAUAUUGGUCUUGUAAAUCAAACAUAAGAAAUAUUCUUUUAAAACU